UACGGAAGGUCCGGGCGUUAUCCGGAUUUAUUGGGUUUAAAGGGAGCGCAGGCUGAUUGUUAAGCGUGACGUGAAAUGUAGCCGCUCAACGGCUGAACUGCGUCGCGAACUGGCAGUCUUGAGUGGGUACGACGGAGGCGGAAUUCGUGGUGUAGCGGUGAAAUGCUUAGAUAUCACGAAGAACCCCGAUUGCGAAGGUAGCCUCCGAGUCCUUUACUGACGCUGAAGCUCGAAGGUGCGGGUAUCGAAC
rnacentral:rRNA from 1 species